CGACAGCAAUAUGAAGGUCAGGCUGAAGACCUUACCCGAUUAGCUGAGAGGUGGUGCAUGGCCGUCGUCAGUUCGUACUGUGAAGCAUCCUGUUAAGUCAGGCAACGAGCGAGACCCACGUCCACAGUUGCCAGCAUACCCUCCGGGGUGAUGGGUACACUGUGGAGACCGCCGCUGCUAAAGCGGAGGAAGGAGUGGGCAACGGUAGGUCAGUAUGCCCCGAAUCUCCCGGGCUACACGCGGGCUACAAUGGUUGGUACAAUGGGCAUCUACCCCGAAAGGGGAAGGAAAUCUCUUAAAGCCAAUCGUAGUUCGGAUUGAGGGCUGCAACUCGCCCUCAUGAAGCUGGAAUCCGUAGUAAUCGCGUUUCAACAGAACGCGGUGAAUACGUUCCCGGGCCUU
rnacentral:rRNA from 1 species